AUCAAAUAAACUGCUGAUAAUGAUGUUACCCUUUUGACUGCCCUAAUAAACUCUAAAUUUCCAUACAGUGUGAAGAGAGCCCUUCAGUUACAAGACAAAGAAAAUGUGAGUUAAGUAAAUCACGAACACUUCUCUAUGCCAGGAUUUCAGAUCAUAAAUGGCCUUUUCAUAUUCUUUUAAUGUUUAUUAUUUCAGCUCAUUUUAAUGUAACAUCAGAACCAUGUCAUUAAUCAUAAAUGAUGAAAGUAAAAGAAUAAGGUUUUACUUAUUUAUUAAAAGUACAACAACAUAAAGAAAUCUAUACCAAUGCUUCAAAUGAAUCUAUUUUAGAUCCCAGCUAAGAGGCAAGCACCAAACAGGGACUAUUCCCCUGUGACUGGAACCCAGUUGAUGAGUCCCACGACAAAAACUGCAGGUAUAAAAUCCACAGACCAGCUACUGUGUCCUCUUAGUCCUAUAAAACUCAUAUUUUGCCCCCCAGGAGUUUUUAUUUUUUUAUUUAUUUUCAUCGUGAGCAGAAUAAGAUGUGUGUGUAUUUUUUUUCGCUUUCGGUAAUCGCCAUAAACAAUCCCCUGCUCAUGUCAUGUUGUUGCCUAAAUCCUGUACAGUAGGGGUCUCUUGUAAUCCACUGAUAUUGCAUUUAGAUUAGCUGUCUGUGUAGCCAUUAAUAAUAUCUUUGCUCAUGCUGAUUUGAUAAAUUGCUGACAUUUAGUGCUUCAUCAGCAGGUAAUUCCAGAGCAGGUGGGAAGAAAAUGAAUACCCCUCAAACAAAAGAGCCCAUGACAGAUGCUGAGAGAAUUCUGUUCCUCAGGUCUAAGGUGAAAAAAUCAUUCAAGGACCUUAUGAAAUACAGACAACAGCUGGAAACAUUAGUGCCAGUAGAGGGCAGUGGUGAGCUGAGGAGUCUUCUGCUGAUGAGUCCUGCUGAUCUACAAACUGAACUCAAGAGACAUGAGAAUCUGUGUGAGUCCUUUUUCUUUUCAGCUGUAAUUCAUAAACUUCAUAAUGCAUGGAAAUAAAAUGAUUCACUUUCUCAAGGUCACUUUAUAGACAUUUGUUAAACAAUUUAUUUGCUAUUAAGAGUAUUGGCUAUCAAUUCUUGCUGAAACAUAAAACUGAAUUCUUUGCUUUCCAGCUGCUAAAAUUGCUUCUUGUGCACAUAGAGCAGACACAACCAAGGGCCAUUUCCAAGGUGAGUAAAUUUGGAAAUCAAAUGAAUGUUCAGAAAUGAAUUAAAAAGUUUAUUUGCUAUUUAAAAGCAUGAACGAUAAAACUUAUCUUAAGUGGAUAUCCAAUCAAAGAUAAUCCAGAUCAGAUAGCAACCACUUCACAGUUAGUUAUGUUUCAAAUCUUGAAAGUUUCCCUAUCACAACAACAGUCUUUGUUAGACUCUGACACAAGGAUAAGUUAUGAGCCACGUUGAAUUGAUUCCAAUAACAGUAUGAUGAUUGUGACCCCAUUGCUUUGCUUAAAAGAGCAAGAGAAAGAAAACAUUUUGUGUUCCACUUAUAUGUGAGUCAUGAUUGAUUUCAAGCACUAGCACAAGUUCUGGAUCUUGGUCACAUGGGACCCAUGAAUAGCCAUUUAUGAGAUUUGGUUGUCAAUGCGGUGUGUUCAUAGAUAUUUGUCUCGAUGUCUGCACAUAUAAAAGGUUCUCUUUUUCUAAGACAAAUAUUUCAUUUUCCUAACACAAACAAGCCAGAACUCCUCUUCAUGGGACAGAAUUAAUUAGAUUAUUUCAAGCACACAUUCAGCCCCCAGCAAAGCUGCACUUGUGAUUCAGUCACACAAUGGUGAUUUGUUGCAACUCAAUGGUUGAAUUGUGAUGAAGUUCAGCAUGUUUUUAAGAUAAGGUCGCCUGAAAUUGUUUUAAUUAGUCACACCCGAGGACCUCUGCGUAUAUGUUGCUUGUAGCUCGACACCAAAGGAAUGUCACAAUCUUGAUCACAUGGUGGAGCAUGAAAUUUAUCAAUAUAAUAAACAACAACAACAGUACA
ensembl:lncRNA